AUGGCUGCCAAAGUGUUAGAGUCCACUGGCAAGUUUGGCCUGGCCUUAGCUGUUACAGGAGGCACGGUAGGCUCUGCCUUAUAUUAUGUGGAUGCUGAGCACAGAGCUAAAUCUUUGGCAGAUUCCAUGGAGUACAGGACAUUGCAGUAUGGAAAGGAACUCAUUUUCUCAUCCUAUGGGUACAGAAACCAAUUAUCGUUGACUGCUACUCUUGAUCACAUAACACACCAGUCAUCACUGGUAGUGAAGAUUUACAGAAUGUCAAGAUCACAGAGUGCAUUGUCUUCCAGCCUGUCACUAGCCAGCUUCCUCACAUCUUCACCAGCAUUGGAAAGGACUAUGAUGAGCGUGUGCUGCUGUACAUCACUAAGAGAUCCUCAUGUUACCGAUUGCUUACUUUGAUACUGGAGAACUGAUCACCCAGAGAGAGCUGGUCUCCAAGCCGGUUAACAACGACCUUACGGAGCAAGCAGCCACCUUUGAGCUCAUCCUGGAUGAUGUGAAAAGAUCCUCAUGUUACUGAUGGCUUACUUUGAUGAUGGAGAACUGAUCACCCAGAGAGAGCUGGUCUCCAGGCAGGUUAGCAACGACCUUGCAGACUAAGUAGCCACCUUUGAGCUCAUCUUGGAUGAUGUGUCCUUGACACAUCUGACCUUUGGGAAGGAGUUCACAGAAGUGGUGGGAGUGAAACAGGUGGCUCAACAGGAAUCAGAGAGGGCCAGAUUCAUGGUGGAAAAUCUGAGCAGCAGAAAAAGGUGGCCAUCAUCUCUGCCAAGGGAGUCUCCAAGGCAGCUGAGCUGAGUGCCAAUUCACUGGCCACCACAGGUGAUGGCCAGAUUGAGCUACACAAGCUGGAAGCUGCAGAUGAUAUUACAUACCAGUUCUUAUGCUCUCAUAUCAUCACCUACCUUCCGGCAGAGCAGUCUGUGCCCCUCCAGCUGCCCCAGUAA
rnacentral:lncRNA from 1 species